CCUACGGGUGGCAGCAGUGAGGAAUAUUGGUCAAUGGGCGGGAGCCUGAACCAGCCAAGCCGCGUGAAGGAAGAAGGCGCCAGGCGUCGUAAACUUCUUUUGUCGGGGCACAAAGGGCGCCACGCGCGGCGUUGUGAGUGUACCCGAAGAAAAAGCAUCGGCAAACUCCGUGCCAGCAGCCGCGGUAAUACGGAGGAUGCGAGCGUUAUCGGGAUUUAUUGGGGUUAAAGGGUGCGUAGGCGGUCCGGAAAGUCAGCGGGAAAAGCCCGGGGCUCAACCCCGGCGAGCCGUUGAAACUGUCGGACUAGAGACGGCGAGAAGAAGGCGGAAUGCGUGGUGUAGCGGUGAAAUGCAUAGAUAUCACGCAGAACCCCGAUGGCGAAGGCAGCCUUCCGGCGCCCUACUGACGCUGAGGCACGAAAGUGCGGGGAUCGAACAGGAUUAGAUACCCUAGUAGUA
rnacentral:rRNA from 1 species